GGGUCAGUAGGUUGGCCGUGCCCCCGGUACGUACUGGUCUCACUGAUUCCUCCUUCCUGAAGAACCGUAAUGCCAUUAAUUUGGUGUUGCGGGGAAACAGGACUGUUACUUUGAAAAAAUUAGAGUGUUUAAAGCAGGCUAACGCUUGAAUACAUUAGCAUGGAAUAAUGAAAUAGGACGAUCGAUCCUAUUUUGUUGGUUUCUAGGAUUGACGUA
rnacentral:rRNA from 1 species